CUAUCCUGAUCGACCUCAUCCAAGUGAAAUUCCAGGGGAAGUCGAUUUCGCCCUUCGAAACUCACCCCAUUGCCACCGGCGUUGCCAUCUGCAGCCUGCUCCUGCAUUUCUUGUUGCUGCGUCUCGCUAAUCAGGCACCCCCGUCCAGCGGCUGCGCUUGUCCUUGUGAUGGAGCAUCAUCGCACCUCCUCAUCGACUUCACUGGUUCGAUAUCAGUGGCUUCGCUUGCGUGGUUGCUGUUCCACGACUCCUCCCACUCCGUCCUCUGGUUGUUCGUGCUGCUCCUGUUGCUUUCCAAUGUGGGAAUCGUUACAUCAUAGUCUCUAUUUGACCUUUGAGAGGUGACAACUAGAUCUUUGCCGUGGCAAAUGCGUUAACUUGCAAUCUAAGACUACGUUGUCUCGCUGGCGGAUUGGUUUUUGACCGGGAGCUUGAAUUGUUGCUUCAGUUGGACAUUCAAGUUUCUGGGGCCAAGAGAGCUACAAUCUUGGAUGUCGACUGUGGCAGUGAGUCCAAUUGACUUGCAUGGGAGCGUAAGUUGAAACGUCAAACAGAAAGGAAAUUCUUUUUGUCUUGAAAUGCAAUAUUUUCAUCGAGUUCAGAGUAGCAGGUCUUCAGAGACGCUGCAUAGGAAGCACAGUUCUGGAGACUAAAAUAAGAAAGAGUAUAUGCUCGUGGAGGUGAUGAUUCAAAGUGGGCCUUUCAAAAGUGCAUGAAAUGUUGAAGUCGUUGUCACAUUCCAUGCAGUGAAAGACAGAGCAUUGACACUCUUCACGAGAUAUGUCAACAACGCUCCUUCCUAAUAUGAGAAGAAAAAGGAUGUGUGGGCUGGACAGGUUGUUGCAUAACUGAGGGCAAAAUGGACCAGAAAAGAGCAGCUCUGCUCCAGCCAGCAUCAGGUUAAACAUCUGACACUUUCAUCACAAGCCUUGCAUGGACCAUCCUUCAUAUGACAGUUCCGGCAGCAGAAGAUGAUCGUCCAGGGGAGAAAAAAGAGGCAAUCAAGACAACCAUAGACCUUACCUGGUAUUCCGAAUAUGUUAAAGCUGUGCAGUCCAUGUUGAGGCUGAAUUUGCAUUCAUUGCAGUAGGAAACCAUGGCAGACGUUACAUUUAGCUCCUCCAAUUGAUCAAAAGCGAGAGGGUGAUCAUGGGGAGACAGGUGUUGCAUCUCUGGGGGAGAUUUGGUGCAGCUUUUGUGGAGAAAGUAUUUGCAUGCAUAGCAUCCAUAGACGUCCCCCAAGAUUGCUUGCUCGCAGGCUUUGCAUUUGAUUCUACUUCUCAUCCCGAGAUGAUGGGAUGUGAGCAGAUGCUCAUCAGCAUUUGUUGGAUGGCCACAUUCUGAGAAUCCUCAUUGGGAGGACAAGCAAUAUUGGGCCGUGCAGUAAGAAUUGACGGAUCCGACUGGCAAGAGAAGGUUUUUAUAUAUAAAUGCAAUAUAUUGAUUGAAAUAUAUUUAUCACUAGACUGGUGAGGUCACGUAUUUCCUUGUGACCAAGUUUGUUAGGAAUAUGGACAAGCCUUGAUAAGCCAUUCCCUCUUGUGUCCAUCCAUCGAUCACAAGUAUUAGACCUAGUGUUCCAAACAAUGAGUGACUAAGUUUGUUAGGAAAUAAAAUGAUAGUGCAGCUUCAAGAUGAGUAUUUGUAGAUACCUUUUAUUGAUUUAGAGUGCGUAAAACGAGCAAUUUCUCAAGAACAGAUCAGAGAAAGCAUAUAACCUUGGAGCAUAAUCAUAUGUCAUUAUUCGAAGAGCUAAACAGAAAUGUGGGAUGUGAUUUGAGGACUUAACCGAUGAUUUAGAUGCAGAUGGUAAUAAAUUAUUUUCUCUGGACUCUGAAGGUUAGCCAUUUUGUAUGAGAUGUGCAGGAUCGCAGUUAUCAUAAAGCAAAUAAAAUUAUGUUGGCAAAAAAUGUGGUACCGUCAUCUCCAAUGAAAGCAAAAUGUGUGAUAAAUGUUGUGGGCCAUGGAUACUGGAAAGAGCAAUAGAGAUUUAUCUUCAGUGAAAGCAUAUGUCACAGACAACGGGUUUGGUUGCCCAAAAGCGACUUGGCUUCACCAAAACUCCUCUUCUCUAGAAGACUGGCUGGCAAGGCGUCCCACUGGCAAUAGGUUGCUCAACCUCGCCUUGCUUUUGUGACAUGCUGUCUGGCCCCUCUGCAUUACAUAGUCAAGGAACGACACGGUGAUUGCAUCAUAUAGUCAGCAUUUUACCUCCGAGAGGUGACAACUAGAUCCUUCUCGCGGCAAAUGCGUCAACUUGCUUCAGCAAAUAAGAUUUAUAAAGACAAACUUCUUCUGUGGUGUAUCCUGCAUGUAUCCAGAAGCUCUUGGAUCUGAAUAAUGCAAUGACUAUGUUCUCUCCCUGGCUAAUUUGGU